GUUAAUACUAAACUGUCUAUCACUCUGUGAAAUAUCAAAGCAACAUUUAUCCCUCAAUGCAUCAAUUAAAUUAUUUACAUUAGUCGCAACAAGCAUAUAUAUUUUACCAAAGAGUGUUGAAUAUUUCUAGUAAAAAACUUUCGAGUGCAAAGAGUCGAAACAUUCAGUAUCCGUCGAAUUGACGAGUUCCGUGGAUCUAGUGUUAAAUAAGUGGUAACAUGUUAAGAGAGAAAAGAGAGAGAGAGAGCUCGAACAGGAUCAGGAAAAUCAUGAAAAUCUUUUUUCUCAUCUCUUCCUUCGUUCCGUUGUAUGUAUUACUCGAGGUCUCUUUAUGAAUAAUAACGAAGCCUCGCGCAUAGAUGAACAACGUUUCACUUGGCUCGUGCUUUCAGCUUACGUCAGGCGGAUUUAAAGAAAAAGAAGGGAGGGAAACGGCCAGACUAUUUUCUUCUUGUCGUAGAUGUCUCGAUAUUGAGGCCGUACAGAGAAGAAAUUGUCCCGGUUUCUCAAGAAUCGCCGACCGUUUUCUCAUCUCCGGAAACAAACGGUGGACCGGACAAUGACGCGCUCGUCCGGCGUUGCAACGAAAAUCUCAAAGUGAUGCUUUGUGGCUCGACAUAUUCAACAUCGUGGCUCGCCGAAUCGAAUCACUAGUUCACUCGAUGAAAUCAUUAUUUCAAACAUCAAGGUCGUUGCGGAAGCGGGCAGCUGUACGAAGAAGACGUGUCGACGAAGAAACGUAGACAAACGUUGUCUUCCGGAGGAGACAACGCGACUGCAACGGAAGCCGGCAGCGGAACAAGGUGAACCGGUUUCGUUACCGCGGCGAUUACUUGCUUACGAGUCGGAGCCGGUUUAACUCGAUCCUCCCGCUUCGUCUGCCGCGCCAACGAAACCGGACCGGGCGUGUUUGCGAACGCGGCAACGCGACACUGGCAAACGGAUCCUUUCCAGUCAAACACACAGGGGGUCGUGCGUCCGAAACGUCCAGCGUCACGAGGACUCCGGCCCCUGUCGUCGCGAGGUCCCUCCCCAAUUGGAAAUUAACGCCGUGGAAGCCAGCGGACCGGUCCGAAUGACCCAUUUCGGAUCUCUCGUUCUCCAAUUACCGAGAUCGCGACCGCGCGUUUCCGCCCGCGGAAAUGAUUAACCCUUUCGUCCGGAAUGCAUAGGCGCCGGGGACGUUUUCAAUGGACAGCUAGGAAACGCCUUGGAGACAAAGGGAGAGUGUGGAACGUAUGAACCGUUUAUUUCGAGAGUGACUUCAGUAGAGAGUUAGUAAAGAUUAGAGAACGGUUAGAGAAUAGAAAGAUUAUGUAGGGUUAGAACUGUUGUGCGAUUAGCUCUUGAGUUUUUUGAGAAAUUCACUUAAGCCACUUUUACAAAUGGUUCAUAGCUUUGCUUAUGAAUGACUGUUAUUAGUGUCUUGUUUCUUUCUGGGAAGUUUCAAUUUUAAUGGAAGCUAGGGAACUAGCACUUCUUUGCUUAAGAUUGACUAUUAUUAUUGGUGGUUAUCUUAUGUCUUCCAUUGUAAAGCUUCAGUUUCAUUUGGAAGCUAGGAAAUGCUUAGAUACAAAGGGAAACUAGAUUUUUGCUAUGACUGAUUGUUAUUAUUAGUGCUUGUCCUGUUUCUUUCAGUGGAAAGCUUCAACUUGCAAGCUAGGAAACGUUCUAGAUACAAAGGGAAACUGCAUCCUUGCUUAAGAUUGACUAUUAUUACUAGCAAUUGUCUUAUUUCUUCACUGAGAAGCUUC